rnacentral:rRNA from 1 species
AGCGAACGCUGGCGGCAGGCUUAACACAUGCAAGUCGAGCGGGCGUAGCAAUACGUCAGCGGCAGACGGGUGAGUAACGCGUGGGAACGUACCUUUUGGUUCGGAACAACUGAGGGAAACUUCAGCUAAUACCGGAUAAGCCCUAACGGGGAAAGAUUUAUCGCCGAAAGAUCGGCCCGCGUCUGAUUAGCUAGUUGGUGAGGUAACGGCUCACCAAGGCGACGAUCAGUAGCUGGUCUGAGAGGAUGAUCAGCCACACUGGGACUGAGACACGGCCCAGACUCCUACGGGAGGCAGCAGUGGGGAAUAUUGGACAAUGGGGGCAACCCUGAUCCAGCCAUGCCGCGUGAGUGAUGAAGGCCCUAGGGUUGUAAAGCUCUUUUGUGCGGGAAGAUAAUGACGGUACCGCAAGAAUAAGCCCCGGCUAACUUCGUGCCAGCAGCCGCGGUAAUACGAAGGGGGCUAGCGUUGCUCGGAAUCACUGGGCGUAAAGGGUGCGUAGGCGGGUCUUUAAGUCAGAGGUGAAAUCCUGGAGCUCAACUCCAGAACUGCCUUUGAUACUGAGGAUCUUGAGUCCGGAAGAGGUGAGUGGAACUGCGAGUGUAGAGGUGAAAUUCGUAGAUAUUCGCAAGAACACCAGUGGCGAAGGCGGCUCACUGGUCCGGUACUGACGCUG